rnacentral:lncRNA from 13 species
UACGCAAACUGUAAUACUGUGCGGACAUAAUGGCAGCGCUAGAAGAUAGUGAUAUAUUGAUAUGGAAUAAUUAUAGUGUAAUAAACCAGACUACUGCACAGUGCAACAUAUGUAUUCGGAAAUAUAGAUUCAAAAAUAAUUUAUUGGCAAUGAAAGUACAUUUACUCUGUGAACAUCGAAUAUUUGAUACAGAGGAAUACAUAAGUUGGAAAGAUGACACCGAUGUGAUAUGGCAACAUUUCUCCAAAGAAAACUUAUAUCUUGCAAAAUGCAACAUUUGUGGCAUUUUAUUGUUUAAUGGAUACAAGAAAUCAUCUUUAUGGGCACAUCUGACAGAAAUCCAUUCAGAAGAAAUGAAUGAAAUAGUGAAUUCCUGGACAUCGUCACAUAUUACAAAAAUUUAUGCAGACAGCAUAGAUUACUUUUAUGUCAAUAAAAUAUAUUACGGAAUAUGACUUAAUAUCUUCGCUGUACAUGAUUUGACUAAUCAAGAUCUUAAAAAGAAACUGAAAGCAAUAACAUGGUCAAAAUGAUGAAAAAAUCCGUAUAACAACAGUGGCCAUGAGAUGAUAAUAACAAGGAUUUGGACAACAGAAUCUGGAAAUCAUAUAAUAGAGCCAAUAAGGAUAGGAAUCCCAUAACGGAAUCUGGAGAUCAUAUUGUAAUAUCGGCAAUAACGAUAAUCAUAUGAUUUGAUAUUAUGAUCUAUGUAUAAGCAGGCACGCUUGACGAGUAAUUUUUCGCUGUUACAAUUUCACGAUUGUUCUAUCAACUUUCUUACGACCUUGGUUGUAUAUGUUUAUAUAGACGCUGUCUACUUUGAAAUUGAACAAUUCAAUCAUAGAAAUGAAUUGAAUAAAAGUUAUUCUUUUAACUACGUAUUUUAUGUAAAAAUAAUAAAUUUCCAUAUAUAAGAAAGUUGACAAUAACAUAUUGCUAUUUAACUUUAGGAAUUGGUUUAAAUUUGAUUUAUUAAUAUUUAACAGUGUUCAAUGUUUUAAAUAAUUUGUAUAAAUAUAAUUAUAUUCAAUUUACAUCUGUAUAUAUGUAUUAAAAUUGUAAAGUAUACGUGGGCAUAAUAAUAUAGAUUAUUUAACAUUCUUAUCCAUUUAUUCAAAUUUAAAUGUUCAAAUUAUUUGUAUUAUUUUUUUAAAAUAUUAGCAUUCUCAUGUAAAAAAUUUGUUUAUUAUAAUUUUAAAAUUUAAUGUGAUAUUUAUUUUAGUUAAAAUAAGUUGUUACAGAAUUUUUGGAAAUAAUCAUUAAAUAAACUAAAAUUAAUUAUGAUGUUAUUAUAGAAAAAAUAUAAUUAAAACGCGCUUUGUGUUUAAAUUUGUUCGAAACUUGUUACAUGUACAUGGAUUAUAACAGACGUAAAACUGACAUUUUAAUUAAUAAAUUAAAAAUUUUUUAAAACUUA